rnacentral:rRNA from 1 species
GUCCACGCCCUAAACGAUGGGUACCAAGUGUCGGCGGGUUACCGCCGGUGCCGCACCUAACGGAGUAAGUACCCCGCCUGGGGAGUACGGCCGCAAGGUUGAAACUCAAAGGAAUUGACGGGGGCCCGCACAAGCGGUGGUGCAUGUGGUUCAAUUCGACGCAACGCGAAAAACCUUACCCAGGCUUGACAUGUUCGUGGUAAGAGCCGGAAACGGUGAUGACCCUGAAAGGGGAGCGAGCACAGGUGCUGCAUGGCUGUCGU